UCAUAAAAACCGAAUAUAUCCACAUAUCAGCAGCAACACAUCCCAACAACACAUAUCCAAAAAUCACAUCCAAGAAAAUCAACAAUGAACGGGCAAGUACAUCUAUGCGGAUAAUAUCAACAGCGCAUCACAAGUUCAUCAAAACAAAUAAAUCAAUAUGUUGAGGUUUGAAAUUGACAUUUAGAGAGUCGCUAGAGUGGUUGCGAAGCUGCUGGAAUAGCGGUGAUAGUUAUGGACAAUGUAGGCCAGGAUUCACGUGCUGCCACCACUGCUAGUGCAUGAAAACACGUGUUGUCGCUAUUAGGGGUGCAUCUUUGGGCAGAUCUAAAGCACCUCCUCUUCCUCUUUCUUCCUGUGUCGGCAGUGUUUCACAACGCUACUUGAGAAGAGAGAUCUAGCUAGUCCGUCAUGUUAAAACUGGAAAUCAAGUGGUUGACGGUACUGGUGCAUGGUUUGGUGGUGGAGAAAGAGGGAAAAGAGGGUUGUUUUGUUGGAAGUACAGGAGAUUUGGCCGGAAAUCACCCAGGUUGCAAGAGAGAGGGUCGAGCCCCAUUUCUUCUUCUUUUUUUCCAGAAAGAGUUAUUCUUUUUUUGUUUUUUUUGGUCAAGUCUUCUAUUUUUCUUUGCUCUUGUUUUUUCUUCUCCUGAAUUUUUCUUUAUAUGUUUUUCCUAUCUCUGGUUCUCUCUGGUCUCUUAGCGUGUUCCUUUUUUUCACGUGAAUUCUUCUUAAUGUGAUCAACUUGUGAGUUCGGGGCGAAUUGCAAUAAUUAUAUCCUAGGGUAAAGGAUUCUAAGCCCCAUCUUCUUCAACCUUGUUCAAGUUGAACACAUUAAAGCUUUGCAACACAUCCGAACAACCUCUUCAAACUUUGUUUCCUUUUGUUCUGCGGCUGAUUCAAGCAUCAAAAGAUUUUCAAUCUCUGAAAGAAACUUGUUUUGCACGAACACCAGCACACCAAUCACCAUUCUUCCAUGAAGAUCGAACCACGUCAACUGCAAGAAAGAAGCCACACUCUAGAAGUUUUUUGAACUCGUCGCUGCUAUUCAAACUUUGCGACGACUUCAACGACAGAGCAACUGUGAUUAUGCAACUAGACUGCUUAUGAGCAACAUGCUCAAGCACUGUGUUCAGCACUACUCUUCAUUUGUUUAGCAUUACUCUUCAUUAAAAAAAAAAUUAUUUGACAA